rnacentral:misc_RNA from 1 species
AACUGCACCCUGAAAAGAUCUCCUAGUGCUCCACGAAUUUCCAUCUGAUCACAACACACAAGUUUUGUAAGCAAAGGAUAGAAGUCUCUCAAAUGUCUUCUGAAAAUCUUGUCGUUCAUAAAGCACAUGCUUUUAAGCACCUUGACAAUGAUCGGUGACCGUAACUCAAGAACUCGAUGAACAUCCAUGUUAGUAGUCUCCCCAACAGAGGACUGAAGAUCAGAUGCUUCCCUGAGCACCUGUUCACAGAAAGAGACUAAUUUCGCUUCUGCUAUUCCUUCAAGUUUCUCAUCCCCAGUGCCAUCUUCAGUGACAUUUGAAUUAUUUUGCGCUGGAGUAAUAUCAACAUCUUCAGAAACAUUAGAUUCCAUGAGUUGCCCCUUGUUGGCACAGAAACCUGAAGUUGUUUUCUGUAAUACAUCAAGAUAUAUGCUAGUUCCCGCUAAUUCUUGACGAAGAAGGUUUAGAGGCAGCCUCUCAACAGCAAUGUGGCGCAUUCGCAUUCUGAGGUUUGGAUAUGAAUUAUAUGAAGCAGCAAACUCUAACAUGGAUAAUAAAACAUCCAUUAUAGCAAUCUUUUGUGGUGCUUUUAACUUGCUCCAGUACUUCUUCUGAAUACUAUCAAUAGCACCAAGAAGUAAUAAUUGAGUGAUGCACUUGCCCCUAAUACUUGUCAUCAAUGGACUUUCUUCCUCAUCUUUGGCAUCAGGCUCCACAGGAUCAGGAACCUUAAUUGGAGAUGAUGGCACUGACGCAUCAGAAGCACGGGCCUUGGAUUUGGAGGUGAGACUCCUCAUAAACAGAUUGUCCAUCAUAUUUCCCAUUAUUUUUUGACCUAGGGUCUGACUCCUUUGGAAACCAGCAGCUUCAGCAGGCUGCUGAGCUCUUCCUGAUGGUGAGGGAAGGCCUUCUGAUCCAUCCAAAUUGCUUAUGCUAUCCGGCAAGACAAAUGCAUUAUGAUUCCCUCCAAUGACAUGAGCACGACUUGGAGAUGCCAGUGCAGAUACUUUUCCAUUAUCACUGAUAUCAAAUUGGUGGUUAUCUGCAACAUCACUUGUAAUGACCUCUGAAUUCGUAACUAGUACUGAAGGGCUAUUUAGGUUCUCAAAACUAAGAGCAUUAAGCAACUCAAGCGGUUGUGUUGUGUAUGAAGCAUCUCUUAUGCUUUUCAACAAAGUGUUCCAGUCACUCUCACUAAACUGGUGACCUCCUACUUCAAUCAGAUGUACCAAUGCUCCCAAUGAUAUCGAAACCACAGUCUGAUCAGUCUUUUUGGCACAGUCCAAAAGCAAACUCAGAAGUGGAGGCAACAUGAAGCACACCUCCUUGUAGAAUGCGUUAAAAAGGUUGCAAAGCAACUGAAGUGAAUGAAUGCUGGUUUCUCGAAACCACUCAUCAUCAGAAGAGAUUAGGCUUUCCUUUCCAGCAUGUCUCACAUGAUCAAAAAUGGGAAACAACACACGAUG